GAUGGAAAGCACCCAUCUUUCUUACUGGCAAAGGGAAGUGCAGCGAGGCCGCCAUGUUUGCGCCGGGCAGUAAGCGAAGAGCUGAACGAAGGGACUUGUCUUUGUUGUUACUACGGCAACUUCCCCGCACCAUCCAAUGCAGCCGCCAUAUUUGAUGUGGGCAAAGAAGAUUAAAGGUCAUUUUUGACACUCAGGGAGGCGCCAAAUUUUCGUUUUGAAAUGCAUAAACUAAAACAAAACCAAAUCGUUCGCGUGGUCAGAGAAGCACCAUUAUUUAUUGUGAGGAGAAAAGUAAGAGCAGGAAAUCAGUGAUGAGUGGAACCUUGGGUUACGGCAGGGAUCUGUUCUGGAGGCCCCACCACAACCUGAAAAUGAUGCACGUCGAAGCGCCACAUCUGCACAUGCACGGUGCGAUUUAGAGCUUCUAUGUGAGCCGCAAACCCAGAGGUAACCUGUUCUGGUACUUCCAGGCUUGCCGCGGACGUUCGCCAAAGCGGACACAAGCGGAGGCAGACGCAGAACGAGAUGCUUCAGCAGCUCAGGGUUUAGAUCCUUGGGCAAGAACCGGUGAGCCAGGCCAGGCAACAGGAUCCUGCAAAAUCGGCAGAAAGAAACCACAGGUUUCCCUCCUGAGUGACACUGCAUUGUUGUGGCAUCUGCCUGGACAAUUUAGUAUUCAAAGGACCCUGGGCUGCCACUACUGACCCAGCUUGGCUAUUGGAUCCUACUGGCCAGCAAAAACUGUAAGUGAACUUCUUGUUCCAGGUAAGCCUUGUUCAAGGCUUGUCUCCCUGA